rnacentral:misc_RNA from 1 species
UUUCUGUAGGUGAACCUGCAGAAGGAUCAUUAUUGAAGUUAAAGGGAGAUUGCUUUCGAGCAUCUUCCGAUUCUUUUUAGAUCUUACACACCUGUGCAUCGUUGUCGAGUUCGCUCGAUGGCAAAACUUUAUUACACACACGAAAAUGUUAAGAAAGUCUCAAACUAAAAUAAAACACAACUUUUGACAACGGAUCUCUUGGUUCUCCCAUCGAUGAAGAACGCAGC